rnacentral:misc_RNA from 1 species
UCUCCGUUGGUGAACCAGCGGAGGGAUCAUUAUCGAGUUUAUAACUCCCAAACCCUAUGUGAACUUACCACUUGUUGCUUCGGCGCGCGCUUCGGCGCCGCCGAGGACACUUAAACUCUUUGUUUUUAUAAGCAUUUCUGGGUGGCCGAAAGGCAAAAUACAAAUGAAUCAAAACUUUCAACAACGGAUCUCUUGGUUCUG